rnacentral:rRNA from 1 species
CGGGGGGCAGCAGUGAGGAAUAUUGGUCAAUGGGCGCAAGCCUGAACCAGCCAUCCCGCGUGAAGGAUGAAGGCCCUAUGGGUCGUAAACUUCUUUUAUACACCAAGAAAAACAUCCACGUGUGGGUGCCCGACGGUAGUGUAUGAAUAAGCAUCGGCUAACUCCGUGCCAGCAGCCGCGGUAAUACGGAGGAUGCAAGCGUUAUCCGGAUUCAUUGGGUUUAAAGGGUGCGUAGGCGGCUCUUUAAGUCAGUGGUGAAAUCCUGCCGCUUAACGGUAGAAUUGCCAUUGAUACUGAAGAGCUUGAGUACAGUUGAGGUAGGCGGAAUGUGUAGUGUAGCGGUGAAAUGCUUAGAUAUUACACAGAACACCAAUUGCGAAGGCAGCCUACUAAGUUGUUACUGACGCUGAUGCACGAAAGCGUGGGGAGCGAACAGGAUUAGAUACCCCCGU